rnacentral:tRNA from 1 species
GGAGUUUUAGCUCAGUGGUAGAGCGCUUGCCACGCAUGCAUGAGGUGCUGAGUUCGAUCCUCAGUACUACA